GGGAUUUAUAACUGUUCUGGAUGCUAUAGCUGCUGCUGGCUGGCCACAGUUCUACUCCAGGAAUGGAGAGUAACUAAAGACCACAUCUCAUCAGCAAGUUAUUAAAUGCCUACGACAGUACAAAGUCUGACUUGUUUGUAUAACACUACAUCCAUGUUAGGCUAGGGAUAAGAAACAACAACACAAAUGGACAAUUGUACAAGGAGGCUGAACCUGAACUACAAACCCAUAGAGCCCUGAUUGGGAAGUGACUCAAAUGUCCAGAAACACUGCCUAGAUAUCAGCUGCAAAUACAGGAGCAAGAGUUCUCUUGUAGUCCCAUGAUUCAAAUCAGCAGCUCUCAUGUAAGACCAGUGAUUCUCAAAUUUUUAUCAGAAUCAAACACAUACAACAGAAAUUGCUAGAGCAGCAGGUGUCUGGGCCCCAACUGACUUUUUUUUUUUUUAAAUCCAGUAGGUCAGCAAUGAAUUUGUAGUGAUUUGAAUAAGAAUUCUCCUCAUAGGCCUGGGUAUUUGAGUACUUGGUACCCAGUGGGUGGUCCCUAGUCUGUUUGAGCUGGUUUGGUGGUACAGGAAGUAUGUCACUGGCGUUGGGCUUUGAGACUAGAGCCAUUUCCGGAGGCUUAUGUCACUGGGCUUUGGGGUUAGUCCCACUUCUAGUUCUACUCUCUGCUUCAUGGUCAUGGUUGAGCACUCUCAGCUUCCUGUUCCAGCCAUCACACCUCCUGCUAUGAUGGACUCAUAGCCCUCUGGAACUAUAAGCCCAUGCAAACUCUUUCUUCCAUAAGUUGCCUUGGUGUGUUUUAUGACAACAGAAAAGUAACAUAGUAUUUCAAACUGUCUUUGAGAGAUCCUGUUGCUAAACCACACUCUAUACUGUGAACAAGUCUGGACUCCAGCCAAGGGGAUCUCACCCUUCUUGUAUAGGUGUCAAGAAGCCAAGGAGACUCCUGGGGAUGGGAGAAGACUGGGUUUAUAGAUGGGAGAAGUUCCUGCUGCAUUCAGAUUCUCUUGGUUUCCUUUUCACUUACUGGGAUAAAACACUCUGACAAAAAACCAAUGUACUCAGCUUACAAUUCCAGAUACAGUCCAUCAUGGGGUGUGGGUGGGGGUGGGGGUGGGGGACAUAACAAUAGGAGCUCAGGGGACCAUUCAUACUGCAUUCAUAAUUAGGAGCACAGAAGAAAGACUGUGCCUGCUAGUACUUUUCUCUCAUACAGUCUAGGAUCCCUUCCUAGGGAUUGGUGCCACCCAUAGUGAGAUAGUCUUCACACCUCAACCUAAUC
rnacentral:lncRNA from 1 species